rnacentral:lncRNA from 1 species
AAGAUAGCCGUCAAUGGGGCAAGCUAUCAACCAUAUGAAGAGGAGAGGGGGACCUAGCCUAUAUAUAGGAAACAAAGAGGAGCCUUCCCAUUAAAAGCUCCAAAACCCUAAUUGGGUUUCCUGGCCUACAUACCAAAAGUACCACAAUAAAUAGGACUCAAUCCUAUACAUCCAAGGUGCACCAAAGCCCAUAAAACAAAAUGAUCACACAUCAUAUUGGGCUUAAUCAUAGUACCAUUCUGAGC